UACGAAGGGUGCAAGCGUUACUCGGAAUUACUGGGCGUAAAGCGUGCGUAGGUGGUUUGUUAAGUCUGAUGUGAAAGCCCUGGGCUCAACCUGGGAAUUGCACUGGAUACUGGCAGGCUAGAGUGCGGUAGAGGAUGGCGGAAUUCCUGGUGUAGCAGUGAAAUGCGUAGAGAUCGGGAGGAACAUCCGUGGCGAAGGCGGCCAUCUGGACCAGCACUGACACUGAGGCACGAAAGCGUGGGGAGCAAACAGG
rnacentral:rRNA from 1 species